AUUGAACGCUGGCGGCAGGCCUAACACAUGCAAGUCGAGCGAGCGGCGGACGGGUGAGUAAUGUAUGGGGACUGCCCGAUAGAGGGGGAUAACUACUGGAAACGGUGGCUAAUACCGCAUACUAUCGGAUAACCCAUAUGGGAUUAGCUAGUAGGUGGGGUAAAGGCUCACCUAGGCGCCGAUCUCUAGCUGGUCUGAGAGGAUGAUCAGACACACUGGGACUUAGACACGGACCAGACUCCUACGGAGGCAGCAGUGGGGAAUAUUCCACAACGGGCGCAAGCCUGACGGAGCCAUGCCGCGUGAAUGAAGAAGGCCUUCGGUUUGUAAAAUACUUUCAGCGGGGAGGCGUUACCCACAGAAGAAGCACCGGCUAACUCCGUGCCAGCCGCCGCGGUAAUUC
rnacentral:rRNA from 1 species